rnacentral:rRNA from 1 species
GACGAACGCUGGCGGCGUGCUUAACACAUGCAAGUCGAACGGAAAGGUCUCUUCGGAGAUACUCGAGUGGCGAACGGGUGAGUAACACGUGGGUAAUCUGCCCUGCACUUCGGGAUAAGCCUGGGAAACUGGGUCUAAUACCGAAUAGGACCAUUUGAUGCAUAUCUUUUGGUGGAAAGCUUUUGCGGUGUGGGAUGGGCCCGCGGCCUAUCAGCUUGUUGGUGGGGUGACGGCCUACCAAGGCGACGACGGGUAGCCGGCCUGAGAGGGUGUCCGGCCACACUGGGACUGAGAUACGGCCCAGACUCCUACGGGAGGCAGCAGUGGGGAAUAUUGCACAAUGGGCGCAAGCCUGAUGCAGCGACGCCGCGUGGGGGAUGACGGCCUUCGGGUUGUAAACCUCUUUCACCAUCGACGAAGGUCCGGGUUUUCUCGGAUUGACGGUAGGUGGAGAAGAAGCACCGGCCAACUACGUGCCAGCAGCCGCCGUAACAC